AGAGUUUGAUCCUAGCUCAGGAUGAACGCUGGCGGCGUGGAUAAGGCAUGCAAGUCGAACGAUCCGCAAGGAUAGUGGCAGACGAGGUAGUAAUACGCAGGUACGCACCGAAGAGUCGGGCAUAGCUAGCCGAAAGGUUAGGUAAUUCCCGAUGGUCCCUCCGGGGUAAAGGUUUUUCGCUCUUUGAGCGGCCUGCGCAGCAUCAGCUAGUUGGUAAGGUAAAGGCUUACCAAGGCUAUGACGCUUAGGGGAGCUGAGAGGCUGACCCCCACCGAUAGCACUGAGACACGGGCUAUACAUCUACGGAUGGCUGCAGUCGAGAAUCUUCCGCAAUGGACGAAAGUCUGACGGAGCGACGCCGCGUGAUUGAUGAAGUCCUUCGGGACGUAAAGAUCUUUUAUGGAGGAGGAAGUUUUGACGUUACUCCAUGAAUAAGGGGCUCCUAACUCUGUGCCAGCAGGAGCGGUAAUACAGAGGCCCCAAGCGUUAUCCGGAAUCACUGGGCGUAAAGGGUGUGUAGGCGGUUGUAUUAGUCUUUCGUAAAAGCACUCGGGCUUAACCCGGGUAAUGCGGAAGAAACGGUACGACUUAGAGGAUGUGAGAGGUACAGGGAACUCAUAGUGUAGGGGUGAAAUCCGUUGAUAUUAUGGGGAACACCAAAUGCGAAGGCACUGUACUGGCACAUUCCUGACGCUGAGACACGAAAGCGUGGGAAUCGAACGGGAUUAGAUACCCCGGUAGUCCACGCCCUAAACGAUCACAACUGGCUUUACGGAGUAUCGACCCUCUGUGAGGCGAAGCUAACGCGUUAAGUUGUGCGCCUGGGUAGUACGAUCGCAAGAUUAAAACUCAAAGGAAUAGACGGGGACUUGCACAAGCGGUGGAUCAUGCGGCUCAAUUCGAUGGUAAACGAAGAACCUCACCAAGGUUAGACAUCCAGACGACAAUCCUAGGAAACUAGGACUUUCGCAAGACGGCUGGACAGGUGAUGCAUGGUCGUCGUCAGUUCGUGGCUUGAGUUGUUCCCUUCAGUGGGGUAACGAACGCAACCC
rnacentral:rRNA from 1 species